CAGUAACGGCGAGUGAAGCGGCAACAGCUCAAAUUUGAAAUCUGGCCCUCUCGGGGUCCGAGUUGUAAUUUGUAGAGGGUGCUUCGGGCGCGAUGCCGGUCUAAGUUCCUUGGAACAGGACGUCGUAGAGGGUGAGAAUCCCGUAUGCGACCGGCGAUCAAGCCCGUGCGAAGCCCCUUCGACGAGUCGAGUUGUUUGGGAAUGCAGCUCAAAAUGGGUGGUAAAUUUCAUCUAAAGCUAAAUACCGGCCAGAGACCGAUAGCGGACAAGUAGAGUGAUCGAAAGAUGAAAAGCACUUUGGAAAGAGAGUCAAACAGUACGUGAAAUUGUUGAAAGGGAAGCGCUUGCAAUCAGACCGGUCCGGAGGCGAUCAGCCGCUGCUCGUCAGCGGUGCACUCGCCUGCGAUCCGGCCAGCAUCGGUUUGGGCGGCGGGAUAAAAGUCCCGGGAAUGUAGCUUCUCCCGGGGAGUCUUAUAGCCCGGGUCGCAAUGCCGCCCGCCCGGACCGAGGACCGCGCUUCGGCUAGGAUGCUGGCGUAAUGGUUGCAAGCGACCCGUCUUGAAACACGGACCAAGGAGUCUAACAUCCAUGCGAGUGUUUGGGUGUCAAACCCAGGCGCGGAAUGAAAGUGAACGGAGGUGGGAACCCGUCAGACGGCGCACCAUCGACCGAUCCAGAUGUCUUCGGAUGGAUUUGAGUAUGAGCAUGGCUGUUGGGACCCGAAAGAUGGUGAACUAUGCCUGGAUAGGGUGAAGCCAGAGGAAACUCUGGUGGAGGCUCGCAGCGGUUCUGACGUGCAAAUCGAUCGUCAAAUCUAGGCAUAGGGGCGAAAGACCAAUCGAACCAUCUAGUAGCUGGUUCCUGUCGAAGUUUCCCUCAGGAUAGCAGUAACGUUUUCAGUUUUAUGAGGUAAAGCGAAUGAUUAGAGGCCUUGGGGCUGAAACAGCCUUAACCUAUUCUCAAACUUUAAAUAUGUAAGAAGUCCUUGUUACUUAGU
rnacentral:rRNA from 1 species